AUACUUACCUGGCAGGGGAGAUACCGUGAUCAAAAAGGCUGUUCACCCACCAGUGCGAGGCUCUGCCAUUGCACUCCAGGUCGUGCUGGACCCCUGCAUAUCCCGCCAAAUGUGGGAAUCUCGACUGCAUAAUUUCUGGCAGUGGGGGACUGCGAUCGCGCGCUCAUCCCCU